rnacentral:rRNA from 1 species
UACAGAGACUGCAAGCGUUAUUCGGAUUCACUGGGCGUAAAGGGGGCGCAGGCGGUCGGGUGGGUCAGAUGUGAAAUCCCGAGGCUCAACCUCGGAACUGCGUCUGAAACUACUCGACUAGAGUACUGGAGAGGGUAACGGAAUUCACGGUGUAGCAGUGAAAUGCGUAGAUAUCGUGAGGAACACCAGAGGCGAAGGCGGUUACCUGGACAGUUACUGACGCUCAGGCACGAAAGCAUGGGGAGCAAAAGGG